GGUGUCCUUCCCGCUUAGCCCGCAGCAGCAACACAACCAGCUCCUUCAGCCAGUCGCCAUUUCCCGCCUACCGACCUGCUGCACCGCACAGACAGGGACCCGGAUGGAAAGCGGCCUCCCCGCGCAGGCGCUCUGACUUCCUCCGCCUCCGGCUUCUACUCAACGAGAUAACUGAACAGAAAUUCCGUAGGAUGCAGAAAUUUCUGGACAAGACUCCUUUUGGUCCUAAAACAUCAUCGGAGAUGCUAUCCCGAUACAUGUGGCUAUAGAUAGAUCUCCAAACCUGUGGUAAAGUCUGCUACAACCAGAACCACCUUGGAUUCUACACUUAAUUGAUUACAUUAACAUGCCAUUUAUGUUCUUAGUCUGCUGCAUGGGACACCAAACCUGACAAUGCCUAGACAUGUCCAACCCCAUCAUAAUGUUUCAACUGCUGCAAUUACAAAAAGAAAGAGGGGAAAGUGUCAGAGACCACGCUGUAUAAGGGUUAAGUUGUAGACCAUGAAGAGACCUCUGGCUAUCUUGAAAAAGUUCAUAUUUAUAGUGUUCUAAACUCAACAGAACCACAGCUGAGGCACCCGAGGACAUGAGCUACUGACACUCCAUAUCAAGAGCAAUAAAGCUGGCAACUUUAGAAAUCAAACAAUUCACUUAAAGUGCUUGGAAAGUCUUCAAACUAACAUUCCAAGUUCUUGCUCAGUUCCCACUUUGCCUCAGUAUCCCCUUUCUCUGUUUGAAAACCAAAUAAAUAUGGGUUGUGUAGUGAAGCUCUUCACCUUUCCUCCCAGAGAAUCUUUACUCUCAGAGUUUUGACCUUCUUGGAGCCCCCAAAACCAUACUGACUGUCUCUCUUUAUGUAAGCCAUUCACCAUACACUUGUUUAGAAGCCUGUGGGCCUGAUUAGUUCAAAAGAGAAGGCUGAGGCAGAAAGACUGCUAGACUAUAGUGCCAACCUGGGCUAUAUAGUUACUACAUGGUCAGACACUGCCUCAAGAAAAAAAAAAAAAAGACUUCCGGGAGAACAUGGCAGAUAGAUAACAGCAGCUAUGGAGGCUCUCUGAGUUAGCCAGCUUAGAAUCCAGGAAUGGUGCAGUAUGAGGAGUCCUAAGCAAGGGGAGAUAUACCCUGCCGACCCAGGAACAAACUAAACCAACUGGAAAUGCAAUCCCGAUGCUAUAACCGGAACAGAUAAAAUCUCAGCACUGAAGCUGGAACCCGCGCCUCUGGAAACUGAUUUGAAUUUCCUGCUGCCGCUGCUGCAUCUGAAUUGGCACAGCAGGGACAGAGAGGCAAAACCUCUGAGAGUGGGAAUUGACAAACGGAGUUGAGAGUGGGACUGGCGGGGAGCCCUGCAUCAACCUGCGGUGAGUGAGGGGAACGGGGACCCUUCCAUAGAAAAGGAGGCUCCAACAGAGGACAUUCUGGGACCAGGCAGACUAGCUAGAAUAGGACACUGCAGUGACUUUGUCACAUAUUCCCCUCUCAAGCAGGAUUGCUGGGGAGCGCUUGGCCUGGGUGACACUGUGGACUAAGACCCAGUAGGCUAGCCCAAACAGGUCCCAGCGCCUGGCGGUGCACCCCAGCAGUGAAGCCUUCAGUAGACUGACUGACCUGGAGGGGCGGGCCCAGCAGAGGCUGCCCAAGUCUGUGUCUCCCUAAUACACUGCAGUGGGCGGGAACAUCUAGCUGGUGCAAUUAAAACGAACUGUAACCAACAAAGGAAGAAACUGGGCCUCCUAUAUACACUUGUAUGGAAAGAACAAAAAGUAUGGGAAGAGGGAGCAACAAAAAAAGGGUCCUCGGCCUCCAAUCCUGAGAACACUGAUCCAGGAGUAAAUGCAAAGGAGAAUGAGGACAGAAAACAUGCAAUAUCAGACACAGCACCAAUAGACAUAAAGCAAUAUCUCCAGAGCCUCAUAGACAAGUUCAAAAGUGAAGUAUUUAAUGACCUAAAGCAAGAUAUUAAGUAGAAUAGUUAGAGAAAUGCUAAGCACCACCCAAGAAAAAACAGAUGGUGGAAUGGAAGAACAGAAAAAAAGGGGAGAAUUGUUUGAAGGAGAAAAUACAGGAAAUAUAGAAUACGUGAAGCAGGUUCAAAGAGAUUACCAGGAAACUAAAAACUCCAUUGAAAGCUGGCAUAACAGCUUUGAAGAAACUAAGGAUAGAUUAUCUGAACUGGAGGACAGAUUUGUAAUGUGGGAGCAUGAAAUGAAAAACUUCUUAAAAAUAACAAGGAAACAAACAGCAAUAAUACAAAGGCUAGAAGAUGAUAAGAGGAUCUAUAACUUAAGAAUGAAGAACGUAAAAGAAGAAGUAGAGACACAAACAAAUGAACUACAAAGGCUAUUCACAGAAAUAAUCCAGGAGAAUUUCCCUAAUUUAGCAAAAGGUAAAGAUACUCUGAUGUAUGAGGCAUACAGGACCCCAGCCACCUACAACCCAAACAGAGCAACACCCAGGCAUAUAAUAAUAAAAAUUCCAGAAAUCCAAUAUAAGAACAGAAUAUUAAAAGCCGUCAGAGACAAGAAACAGAUCACUUACAAGGGAACACCCAUCAGAAUUACAGCAGACUUCUCGACACAAACCAUCAAAUCAUGAGCAUGGGGGGAAAUAAUUCAAGCUUUGAAAGAUAAUAACCUCCAGCCAAGAUUGAUAUGAAACCUGAAACCCUGCACAACUGUUCCUAGAAAUUGAUGGAAAAACAAGGUGCUUCCAGGAUACAGAGGAACUAGGGGAAUUUGCAACCACCAAUUCAACUCUACAGAGAAUACUGCAGGACAUCCUAAAAAAAGAAAAAUACCAAGAUUCCAGAAACAGUGGCAGAGAGGCCACAAUGAAUGGAGCAGAAAGCAAAAUGAAGAAGACAAACUGACAACUAAUGACAGAAAAAGAGCUCAACAGAAAUGAGGCAGAAAAGGUUGGAUGGUAGGAACAGCUAUUUUGGAGAAACAAGACAUCAUAAUAGCUAGUGCUGAUUUAAUAUCAUCUUGUUUUGAAGUCCCAUCAAGCUUUUGUUCUUGUGUCUCCAUCUGUCUUAACAUGUUGUAUCUUACUGGAUUUUAGUAUAUGUGAUAAUAUAAACAAAAACUUUUAUAGACAAGGAGAUUAUACAGAAACCAUUGUUCAUUUUCUCUUAGUUGGUUCUAAAUACCCUGAAAAACUGUCAUUCUCUUGAAUGGUUUUACAUUGUCUUGAUAUGUUUGAUGCUACAGUAUAUGAAGUUAUACUAAAAGAUUUCAAGGAAAGAGACACUAUGGUAACUACUUUUAUGUCGGGAUAUCUAGUGGUGAAACACUAUUUUGCUUAAAUGGUUAUGUUUCGACCUGUGCUGUUUUGUUGUUAUGUCUCUUGUAUCUCAAUCUCCUUUUUUUAUUAUUUAUUUUUAUCUUUUUAAUUAAGGGAAAAAUAAAAAAAGCAGGAUAUAUUGUAGUAACCCAUUUUGAUUUCCUAUUAACUUGAUUUGAAACCCUGUAUUGCUCGCACCAUCUUGAUUUCCCUGUAUUCUGUUUUGCUUGAUACUACCAAGUUCAACAGUAUAUGCAACAACUGUGAAGACAGUCAGAUUCAUUAUGACACCUAUUCUGGUUUGACUACCAUCUUCUUUUGAAGUACUGUAAUGUCUCCAAUGCUUUGGUUUUACUGGUUUUGUUCUUUACUGUUUUGUUCAAUUUUGUAAUAACUGAUGAUAUAGGCAAUUUUUUUUAAGACAGCAAGAAGCAUUAUGGUAAUCAUUGUUGAUCACCUUGUAUUUUGUUUUUACAUUAUGUAUUAUGUCCAUCCUUUUGAUUGGAUUGACUCUGUUUUGUUAGGUCACAUUUGGGUUUUAUUCUCUUCAAAAAAAGUAGCAAGAACUGUGGGAGCAAUAAAACCCAAAAUGUGUAAUUGUCAUUGUACAAAAGAGAGGAAAAGAAAGUGCUCUAAAGGAUAUAACUGCAUGUAUAUUUAAGUAUGUAAGAUAGAUAAUGAUACUACUGAGUUCUGUUGGAUCUUUGAACAGAACUGUUUGCAGUCUCACUUUUUGAAUGUCCACUUUAUAUGCUUUAAUUUUGUAACUUGAACAACUAUUUCUAAGAUAACAAUAUGUAUAUCUAUUAACUAGUGAUUUCCUACUGUUUAUUUUUUCUGAAAUUUUUAUAACUGGUAUCCUUUUUCUGUUUUUUUUUUUUUCUUUUUCUCCUUAAAUAAAACUAAAAACAAAACAAAAAACAAAGAAAGAAAGGGGGCUGGGGAUUUAGCUCAGCGGCAUAAGCACCUGCCUUGCAGGCAGGCAGUUGUGAGUUCGAUCCCUGGUAUCGAUAGAAAAAAGGCGGGGGGGGGGGGCCCUGGGGAUUUAGCUCAGCAGCAUAAGCGCCUGCCUUGCAAGCAGGCAGUCGUGAGUUCGAUCCCUGGUACCGAUCAAAAAGA